rnacentral:rRNA from 1 species
UGCCAGCAGCCGCGGUAAUACGGAGGGUGCAAGCGUUAAUCGGAAUUACUGGGCGUAAAGCGCGCGUAGGCGGUUAUUUAAGUCAGAUGUGAAAGCCCAGGGCUCAACCUUGGAACUGCAUUUGAAACUGGAUAACUUGAGUAUGGUAGAGGUAAGCGGAAUUUCCAGUGUAGCAGUGAAAUGCGUAGAGAUUGGAAGGAAUAUCGAUGGCGAAGGCAGCUUACUGGGCCAAUACUGACGCUGAGGUGCGAAAGCGUGGGUAGCGAACGGGAUUAGAUA